UGGGUUUAAAGGGUGCGUAGGCGGCCUGUCAAGUCCGGGUUGAAAGCCCGUUGCUCAACAACGGAACUGCCCUGGAUACUGCCAGGCUUGAGUACAGACGAGGUUGGCGGAAUGGACCGAGUAGCGGUGAAAUGCAUAGAUACGGUCCAGAACCCCGAGUUGCGAAGGCAGCUGACUAGGCUGUUACUGACGCUGAGGCACGACAGCGUGGGGAGCGAACAGGAUUAGAUACCCUGGUAGUCCACGCCGUAAACGAUGGAUACUCGCUGCGAGCUAAAGAUUGUUCGUGGCUUAGGGAAACCGAUAAGUAUCCCACCUGGGGAGUACGCCGGCAACGGUGAAACUCAAAGGAAUUGACGGGGGCCCGCACAAGUGGUGGAGCAUGUGGUUUAAUUCGAUGAUACGCGAGGAACCUUACCUAGGCUAGAAUGCGCGUGACCGGCUCAGAGAUGAGCCUUUCCUUCGGGACACAAAGCAAGGUGCUGCAUGGCCGUCGUCAGCUCGUGCCGUGAGGUGUUGGGUUAAGUCCCGCAACGAGCGCAACCCCUAUAGUUAGUUGCCAGCACGUAAAGGUGGGGACUCUAGCUAGACUGCCUGCGCAAGCAGUGAGGAAGGCGGGGACGACGUCAGGUCAUCAUGGCCCUUACGCCUAGGGCGACACACGUGCUACAAUGGACGGUACAGCGGGUAGCUACUGGGCGACCAGAUGCCAAUCUCGAAAAGCCGUUCUCAGUUCGGAUCGGAGUCUGCAACUCGACUCCGUGAAGCUGGAAUCACUAGUAAUCGCGCAUCAGCCAU
rnacentral:rRNA from 1 species